UUGCACAGCCCAGUAAAGUACUUAGUGGAAAAUUGUCCUACUUUGACUUAUAAUUUAAAUUCCAUAUAGGCAUUUUUAAGGAUGUACUUAGGUGAUAUAAGGUAAAAAUUAAUAAAUCAAGCAUUUAAAAUUGAUACUUUAAGCUGAAAGAGUAUUAGUUAAGGAUCAAAAUAAACUAAAAAUAUUGAUAGGUCAUGCAGCUCCUUUUCGAGAUAUUUGAUUUAUAAAAUAUGGCAGGAAAAGGCUGGCUCAGACUUUUACCUUAUAUUUGCAUUGGUAUAAUUUGGGUCUCAAAUCAAAAGAAAAAAAAUCAAGAAUCUGCUUAAAUUUUGUUAAAUGACCUUUUAUGAUCUAUUAAGUCUUAUAUGAAAAAAUAAAUGGGUGUUAUGGGGCAAAAUAUUUUACCUUGUAUCGUAUCGAAAAACACCAAGGAGUCUGAACAUUUAACACAAAUUCCAAAACCUCACCUAAGUACAUCCUUGAGGAUAUGACUGUACAUGAUUUUUUCUUCUUCAGAUAUCCAGGAAAUAAGAAUUGUAUGUGAUCUAUUUAAAGAUCUUAGGACAGUAGGACCUGGAAGUACUAUAUUACCAACUUCAAGAUUAACUGAGCUUGAGAAAUUACAAAUCAACUGAUAAAGAAGAAGAGACUUUGCCAUGUGGAUGAACUUGGAAACAAUUAUUGACAAACAAUAUAGUGUAUUAGUAUUCUUGUAAAAAUCAAUAGAGAGAGAGAGAGGAAGGAUAAGAGAGAGUCAGUUGUAAAGAUUUAUGUCUUUUUAACCAGACAUGUCGAUUACAUUAGAAUUUCAGAGGCCUACAGUUCUCCCUUAAAUGGUCAUAGUUAAUACAUGAAGUAGUUAAAGUAGAGGACUUUAGUGCGACCAGUGAAAACAAUCAGGCAGCUGCCAUUGGUUGAAAUCUCUUUUUUCGAAGAUGUUUUGGUUACAUUAGAAUAAAUCUGUGAGGAAUGACAAAAAAAAUGUAAAAAAAAUAAUUUGUGGUAUUUUGUACAGUUUCAUUAUGCAAUCUUGAAUACAUUUAUGAUUACUAUUUAUAAAGAAGUAUUAUCAUUAGAAUGAGGAUGGAAAAUGUUUAAACAUUUAUUUGAGACAGAGUUUUGCAUUAUUUCAUUAAAAUUAUUAAAUUCUUUUUGUGUGAAUGAAGGACAAACAGGGAAAACAGAAGCUAUUCUAUGAAUUUCAAAUUGUAUUUAUUUACAUUUGAUUGAUUCGUUGAAGAUUAACUACAAGUAUUCAGCAUAGUACAAAAUUAAGGAUGCACUGCAAGUGUAUAUUAUCUUUAUAGUUUAUCAUCACACUAUGUCCAAUCUAGAUGUACAACACUCUUUUUUAUAGUGUUCUGUAAAUUAUCAGGAACACCAGUUGUGAUGAAUGGGAAGACUGGCAGGCUGAGAAAUGGGUAUAAGGGGAGGGAAUACCCCUGCUUAUCUUUUCAUACUGGUUAGUUCCUUUGGUAAAGGUUUUGUACAAAUGUUGUUCAUAUCAGAUGUAUACGAUUUGAAGAGAGUUGUUAUUUGGAGCUCUGUAAAAAAAAAAAGAAAGAAAAAAAAGAAUUUUUAUCAGAGUUCUAGAUAAUAACUGGGUGGUAUGAAAUGUGGGUUAAAUAUUUUCGGUAUAUUUACAAUGAUUUUUUUUUAUUUUUAUGCAUCUGAUAUUUUUUGUGUAUAAAAUGUUUUGUUAUUUUUUACAGAA